rnacentral:rRNA from 1 species
AUGGGUGCGGCGGUCGACGAGACGGCGGCGGCGGCGGCGGCUGCAGCUGUGGCGGCGGAGGGCGGCCCCGCUGCCGCCGCGGCGGAGUCCGACUCCAAGGACCUGCAGCAGCAGAGCAAGGCCCUCGACAAGCUCACCGACCACGUCGAGGAUCGCCAGCUCGACUCCUCCCGCGUCCAAUCCGCCAUGGCAGCUCUUGCUUCAUCUAAAGAGGCUGACUGGAAUGCCAUGAGACUAAGGGAGAAAGAAUUAGCUGCUGUCAAGAUCAACCCUACCGACGUUGAAAUCAUCGCCAACGAGCUUGAGCUGGACAAGAAGAUCGCAGAGAGGACGCUCCGAGAGCACAAGGGCGACGCUGUUGCCGCAGUCCGGUUCUUGCUUCGCUGA